AGUUUAAAACUCAGUGAGAACAGUGAGUGGAUAGUAGUUUUGAAAAUUAAUUCUUACUUAAAAAAAAUAAUCAUAUCAUUUCCAAACACGAUUUCAUUAAACCAUAAGCUAGAAACCAGUAAUAAAUCAUUAAACAUUUAAAUCAGAUUACUAACCAUGGAAAUCAUAUCACAAUAUCAUAUAGAAUUCACAAAUCUGAAAAUCAUCACCAAACAAGUACCUAAGGAAAUAAUCUCGUCAUAUCCGGACCUCAACGGACGGGCAAUGACGUACUAUCUGGGUAACGUCACGCCCCGGAGCUACACGGAUAGACAGGGAAAUACCAUCUCAUAUCUCAUCAUAUCUGUGCAUGCAUAAUCUAGUCCCCAAGGGACAAAAGCGCCCCAAAGGCCUAUAUCUCAUUUGUAUCAUAUGUAUCAUUUGUAUCUCAAUAUCUGUUUGUAUCUCAUAUCAGUAUAUCUGUAAUCAUCAUACCGCAUGCAUAUGCCCCCAAAAGGCAAAAGCGCCCAAACACACGGCCUAAAGCCUCUAUGUGUGUUCAGACGGGCCCCAAAGGCCUCUCAUCUCAUCUCAUCUGUAUCACUGUAUCUGGAGGGAAGGGUAUUGUCUAAUGAUUUCAAAAACAAUCAUUAUUCUCAUUCACAUACCUCUUAACCAUAUUUUAAAUCAUACCACAACUCGCAGAUCCUCCUAAAUUAAGGAAACGACAUAAUUAUUUUCCGUAAAUCGGAAUUAUGACUAAAUUUUAUGCAAUAAACUCGAAACGAACAUCUAUCCAUAAUUUACAACUCCUGUGUCCAUAAAAUUUCUAAAAUGCCCUUGAGUCCGUAGAUCAUUAACAUGCUCCGAAAUCGUAAAUCACCGAAUUACCCUCGGAAUCGUAAUUAAGUAUAUCUGUAAUCAUCAUACUGCAUGCAUAUGCCCCCAAAAGGCAAAAGCGCCCAAACACACGGCCUAAAGCCUCUAUGUGUGUUCAGACGGGCCCCAAAGGCCUCUCAUCUCAUCUCAUCUGUAUCACUGUAUCUGGAGGGAAGGGUAUUGUCUAAUGAUUUCAAAAACAAUCAUUAUUCUCAUUCACAUACCUCUUAACCAUAUUUUAAAUCAUACCACAUUUGAAUUCACUUUUCUUAUCUUUAAAAAACUAUCAUGCUUAUUCAAAGUCGAUACGCAAAAUCAUUAACCAAACAUUUUAAUAAAAUAUCAAUGCGUGAAUAAAAUUCAUUUCGAGAAAUCAUUAAAUCAGAACAUUUAAAAUACUUAUUUCGCAAAGAUGCUUUACUAUCAUCGCUAACUAUGAAAAUAAGUUUUGUAUAUUCCACUCACAGUG
rnacentral:lncRNA from 1 species